UUUGAAAUCUGGCUGUCUUCGAUAGUCCGAGUUGUAAUCUAUAGAAGCGUUUUCCGUGCUGAACUGUGUCUAAGUCCUCUGGAACGAGGUAUCAAAGAGGGUGACAAUCCCGUACUUGACACAAUCAUCAGUGCUCUGUGAUACGUUCUCUACGAGUCGAGUUGUUUGGGAAUGCAGCUCAAAAUGGGUGGUAAAUUCCAUCUAAAGCUAAAUAUUGGCGAGAGACCGAUAGCGAACAAGUACCGUGAGGGAAAGAUGAAAAGCACUUUGGAAAGAGAGUUAAACAGUACGUGAAAUUGUUAAAAGGGAAACGAUUGAAGUCAGUCGUGUUUAUUGGAUUCAGCCGGUCUUCGGUGUACUUCCUUUAAACGGGUCAACAUCAGUUUUGUUCGGUGGAUAAAGGCAGUAGGAAUGUGGCUCCCUCGGGAGUGUUAUAGCCUAUUGUCACAUACACUGGAGGAGACUGAGGACUGCAGCUCGCCUUUUUGGCCGGGGUUCGCCCACGUUCGAGCUUAGGAUGUUGACAUAAUAGG
rnacentral:rRNA from 1 species